rnacentral:rRNA from 1 species
AUUGAACGCUGGCGGCAUGCUUUACACAUGCAAGUCGAACGGUAACAGGCCGCAAGGUGCUGACGAGUGGCGUACGGGUGAGUAAUGCAUCGGAACGUGCCCAGUCGUGGGGGAUAACGCAGCGAAAGCUGCGCUAAUACCGCAUACGAUCUAUGGAUGAAAGCGGGGGACCGUAAGGCCUCGCGCGAUUGGAGCGGCCGAUGGCAGAUUAGGUAGUUGGUAGGGUAAAGGCCUACCAAGCCGACGAUCUGGUGCUGGUCUGAGAGGAUGAUCAACCAAACUGGGACUGAGACACGGCCCAGACUCCUACGGGAGGCAGCAGUGGGGAAUUUUGGACAAGGGGCGCAAGCCUGAUCCAGCCAUUCCGCGUGCAGGAUGAAGGCCUUCGGGUUGUAAACUGCUUUUGUACAGAACGAAAAGGCUCUGGUUAAUACCCGGGGCUCAUGACGGUACUGUAAGAAUAAGCACCGGCUAACUACGUGCCAGCCGCCGCCGUAAGAC